rnacentral:lncRNA from 1 species
GGAAAACAGGAAGAGUGGAGCCUCCUGUGUGCAGUAAAUCCUGAAUAAUUUCAUGCUUUCCCUGACUCCAGAUCACUUCUCCAAGGAGAGCGCGAAUGAAUAACAGCAGCGCUUCGGAGGAGCUGGAGAACUGGGACUCGCACCCAACGGGGCUGCCGUGGGACCAAACGAACCCUAUCGGCACUGGCCGGUUUGACUCCGCGCAGGUGCCAUCUGGUGCCAGCUUCACCCGCUUUGUCGUAAUAACACGCUUUCAAUUAUUUUUUUUCUCGGCCUCGAUGUUUGAAGCCAACCGAAAGAACUACACGUCAUCAGUUGGUCCGGAAGGUCGGUGGGCUGGAGGACAACAAAAGAGACAGGAGGGCCUCUUUUCCAGUUCCUCUGACGCACCGUUUCUCGCUGUGGCAUGAUGCCUCCAGCAAAUACACACACGCCCACAGUGAAAAGCAUGAAUAAUCAUCUGCAUUCCAACUGUGCCCAGGUCAAGAACUCCAUCACUGCUUCUGCACACUGGAAUUCAUCGUAAUUGCAGUGCUCUUAUUUUUAAGGUUUUUUUUUUUUCUUAUAAGUGUCGCUAGUUAGUGCUUAACUAGUACUUAUAAAUAUCUGGUAUUUUUGCUCCGUUGUAGUUAGCUCUUGUGCUGGGUGCAUUGUUUGAAAUUCUUUCAUUGUAACUCAGACAUAAUAUAUAUAUGUAUAUAUACAAUAUAUAAUAAUUCAUAUACUGUAUUUGUGUCUGAUUUGAACAGAAAGCAGCCAAUUCUGCUCCGAGUAACAAGAUGGUGUGGCAUUUCGGCAUCGGUUUUCAGCCGUCCUUGCUAAUGUCAGCUGAUUUAAGAAUGCAGACAGCUGUCAUCCAUCAAUAAAGUGCUUACAUGUCUGAAUUUUGUUCUUUUG